CGAAGGGAUCACAUGCUGAUUCUCCUCUACCUGUGUGAGCUGGGUAGCUUCACUGAUAAGUAUGGAGAGCAUAAGUUUUGAGAUCUGUCGGUAGAAGAAGACAGAACCUUCUGAGGCACAGAACACACCAAAGACAAGGCCCUGUGGAAGAAAGAUGUAGAAAUAUGAGCACUUUCUAGGAAGAGACCAGAGAACAGUGUGUUCGACAGCAGGACAGAGUGAAGACAGAUAAAUGCAGUUACUCCCCAGUUCAGUGUCUCCAGUCAGUCUGAGAUAAGGGGGAAAAAAAGAAAGUCACAGAAAGCAAGAGACAGGAGGGCAAAAAGCAGAAGUCGUGAGCAGGAAAAGGAAAAGAAAAAGGUAAGUAGGUGGAGUCUUAGCGUGUCUGACUGCAGAGGAUCAAGAAAGCAGUGGAAAAGCGAAUUCUAAGUGAGUGGGAUUACGCCCUACAAGCGGCAUAUUCCUGCUUUCAGCUCAGCCCUGGAUCAUCCCUGGGGUGGGGGUUAUAUGCUGACAUAAACCCGUGUACACAGCCAACAUGUCCCUGUAGAGACAUCACACGGACUCAUUCAUCUGUAUCUGCGUUUCUUGUAAGAGCUGCCCACUCUCCCUGCGAAGGAUGACAGCUGGAGGGGAAUGAGGUUGUUGAGAUAAAAAAAAAACCAAAACACACAACACCAAUCAUUGACCUUGCUUUUAUAAUUUUUUUUCUCUUUAACUUUAUUAAGAAAUUGUAAGAAAUUUAGCCGGUUCUCCAUGCAUCAACAAAGAAUAGCUUUAUUUUUAUGUUUUCCUUCUCCUUCUAGCACAAUGUAGACCAGAAAUUGGGACUGUGGAAAGGAUAUUCCAAACAUAAAGAUCAGGGUCCACGCGUCUGGGUGAACAGGAAGCUGUGUCCCCAGGAGGUCUUUUCUUAUGACAUUUCCAGCCUUAUAAUUCACUUUUCUGAGGUUUAGCAAAGUAGCCAGAGUAGCCAAAGCCAGGGGUGUUAAUACAAGCCAAACCUCAGCCCCUUUCCAAGGCUCCCUCCGGUGCCUUCCGAGCUCUCGAACAGUUCCUCCACCCUGAGUCGCCACCACCCGCUUUGAAACCAUGGCUUUGGAGAAGGUCAUGCCCACAGACACGUCUUUCUCUGUGUGUGACCAGCCUCUGCCAACUUGUGGUGAGACCUUG